UUAGCAUAUAAGUAAGCGGAGGAAAAGAAACUAAAUAGGAUUCCCUUAGUAAUGGCGAAUGAACAGGGAUCAGCUCAGUAUGGAAAUCGGGGCUUCCCAGCCUUGAAUUGUAGUCUCAAGAGGUAUCGCCAACGGAGGCGCAGAUGUAAGCCUCUUGGAAAAGAGCAUCAAUGAGGGUGAGAAUCCCGUUUGUCAUCUGCAGUCCCCCGUGCACGGUGUAUCUUCUAAGAGUCGCGUUCCUCGGGAUUGGAGCGUAAAGUGGGUGGUAAAUUUCAUCUAAGGCUAAAUAUGGGUUCGAGACCGAUAGCAAACAAGUACCAUGAGGGAAAGAUGAAAAGGACUUUGAAAAGAGAGUUAAAAGUGCCUGAAAUUGCUGAAAGGGAAGCGAAUGGAACCAGUGCUCUUGGCGAGAUUGUUGUGCGCUAUGGUGAUUGCUGGCUGCUUCAGCGCAAGCGGGGUAGUUGGUACUGAGCCUGCCGCGCGCAGUGUUUCUUACCUUGUGCGUCACCGUCGGUUCACAGGCGAGGAUACUUCUGAGGACAUGGUAACUCUUCCACGGAGGUGUGAAUGUCUUUGGUAAUACUCGUUUGUAGACCGCUCACCUUCGGGUUACGAUGACUAAAUGGUUCUAUUCGACCCGUCUUG
rnacentral:rRNA from 1 species